rnacentral:rRNA from 1 species
CCUCGGGAUUCCCUAGUACGGCGAGUGAAGCGGGAAGAGCUCAAAUUUGAAAUCUGGUAGCCUUCGGUUGCCCGAGUUGUAAUCUAGAGAAGUGUUUUCCGUGCCGGCCCAUGUACAAGUCCCUUGGAACAGGGCGUCAUAGAGGGUGAGAAUCCCGUCCUUGACAUGGACCCCCGGUGCUUUGUGAUACACUUUCAACGAGUCGAGUUGUUUGGGAAUGCAGCUCAAAAUGGGUGGUGAAUUCCAUCUAAAGCUAAAUAUUGGCGAGAGACCGAUAGCGAACAAGUACCGUGAGGGAAAGAUGAAAAGCACUUUGGAAAGAGAGUUAAACAGUACGUGAAAUUGUUGAAAGGGAAACGAUUGAAGUCAGUCAUGCUCUUGGGACUUACCUCCCUUGAGUGGGGUCAACAUCAGUUUUGAUCGAUGGAUAAAGGCACUAGGAAGGUAGCACUCUCGGGUGAACUUAUAGCCUAGCGUCAUAUACAUUGAUUGGGACUGAGGAACGCAGCAUGCCUUUUGGCCGGGAUUCGUCCACGUACAUGCUUAGGAUGUUGACAUAAUGGCUUUAAACGACCCGUCUUGAACCCCCGGGACCA